rnacentral:misc_RNA from 1 species
GGAGGGAUCAUUAACAAACACACACACACACACAAACAUUUUGUGCACUGUGCAACCGUCUGUUCCUGGGAGAGAGAAGCUCUGCAUGAUGGGGAUGGCAGAGGGUUCCCCCCAGGACAACUACACACCAUAUACACAGUUUAUGAUGCAUGGGAACGCAAACAACUUUUAACAAUGGAUCUCUAGGCUCUCGCAACGAUGAAGAACGCAGCAAAAGGCGAAACGUCAUGUGACCUGCAUGCUUUGCGAAUCAUCAAAUCUUUGAACGCAUCUUGGCCACCGGACGCCCUGCGCAUCCGGUAUGCUUGUUUGAGCACGGCGUAGACACUCACGCGCGCCCUGGGCACGGCGGCGUGGAUAUAUGGGCGUGUGGCGCUGACGCGAAGCCACAACGGAGGAGAGCGGUUUGGGGAAGACCACCACCACCUCUAUGAGUGCAUCGCCGAUAGGCCACUCGACUGAAAUGCAGGCCGCGGCCUUGCCGAUGGGUUGAGACCCUUCAGAGGCAGGCGUGGCGGGGUGGCGCACCUACCACACUACGUGUUACGUACGUGUGUGAGAGUGAGUGCCAGACCACACUGAUGAUGGUUACGUCGCCUCGCGACGCGAUCCGCUCAUCGCAUUCAUCCACCGUCUCAAAUCAAGCAAGAGGACCCGCUGAACUUAAGCAUAUCAGUAAGCGGAGGAAAAGAAACUAACAAGGAUUCCCGGAGUAACGGCGAGUGAAAGGGGAACAGCUCAAAGUUGGAAUCGGCGCGCCCUCGGUGCGAUCGAAUUGUCAAUGAUAGGCGUGGCGAGCGGCUACGACACGGUGCCCAAGUCGCCUGGAAAGGCGCACCGCCAGAGGGUGACAGUCCCGUGGGGCACAGUGGGCCGUGGUCGAUUCUCGACGCGGCCGACGAGUCGGGUUGCUUGGGAAUGCAGCCCAAAAUGGGUGGUACAACACAUCUAAAGCUAAAUACCGCGGCGAGAGACCGAUAGCGAACAAGUACCGCUGAGGGAAAGAUGAAAAGCCACUUUGAAAAGAGAGUGAAACAGUACGUGAAAUUGUUAAAAGGGAAACGAUUGAGGCCAGUGGGGCGGCCGCAGGUCAGGUGGGGGCGUGCCGCAAGGCACUCAGCCGCCGCACUCUGCGGUUGCGGGUCGACGGCCGGUCCGGCACGCGGACAAUGCAGAAGGGAAGGUGGCCACGCUUGCGUGCGCUUUACAGACCUGCUGUGAUACGCGAACCGGGGCCGGUCUUGCUUGUGAUCAGGCACUCGACAAAAUGGCCCUUAAACGACCCGUCUUGAAACACGGACCAAGGAGUCUAACAACUGUGCGAGUAUUCGAGUGACAAACUUGGAUGCGCAAAGAAACUGAACGUCGUGGGAGCGUGCGCAGCGAUGCGCGGCGUGCACCAUGGCGCCGGCGCCCCGCAUGCGGGGGGUUGAGCUUGAGCAUACGUGUUGGGACCCGAAAGAUGGUGAACUAUGCCUGAAUAGGGCGAAGCCAGAGGAAACUCUGGUGGAGGCUCGUAGAGAUUCUGACGUGCAAAUCGAUCUUCGAAUUUGGGUAUAGGGGCCGAAAGACUAAUCGAACCAUCUAGUAGCUGGUUCCCUC